rnacentral:rRNA from 1 species
GACGAACGCUGGCGGCGUGCCUAAUACAUGCAAGUUGAGCGCUGAAGGUUGGUACUUGUACCAACUGGAUGAGCAGCGAACGGGUGAGUAACGCGUGGGGAAUCUGCCUUUGAGCGGGGACAACAUUUGGAAACGAAUGCUAAUACCGCAUAAAAACUUUAAACACAAGUUUUAAGUUUGAAAGAUGCAAUUGCAUCACUCAAAGAUGAUCCCGCGUUGUAUUAGCUAGUUGGUGAGGUAAAGGCUCACCAAGGCGAUGAUACAUAGCCGACCUGAGAGGGUGAUCGGCCACAUUGGGACUGAGACACGGCCCAAACUCCUACGGGAGGCAGCAGUAGGGAAUCUUCGGCAAUGGACGAAAGUCUGACCGAGCAACGCCGCGUGAGUGAAGAAGGGUUUCGGAUCGUAAAACUCUGUUGGUAGAGAAGAACGUUGGUGAGAGUGGAAAGCUCAUCAAGUGACGGUAACUACCCAGAAAGGGACGGCUAACUACGUG